AGGAUUAACGCUGGCGGCGUGCCUAACACAUGCAAGUCGAACGAGGUAGUAAUACCUAGUGGCAGACGGGUGAGUAACGCGUGGUCAACCUACCGUUGAGUGGGGGAUAACUAGCCGAAAGGUUAGCUAAUACCGCAUACGAGUCUCGGGGGCAUCCCUGGGCCUUAAAAGGAGCAAUCCGCUCGAUGACGGGACCGCGUCCCAUUAGCUAGAUGGUGGGGUAACGGCCUACCAUGGCACCGAUGGGUAGCUGGUUUGAGAGAGCGACCAGCCACACUGGGACUGAGAAACGGCCCAGACUCCUACGGGAGGCAGCAGUGAGGAAUUUUCCGCAAUGGGCGAAAGCCUGACGGAGCGACGCCGCGUGUGGGAAGAAGGCCUUCGGGUCGUAAACCACUGUCGAAGGGGACGAUAAUGACGGUACCCUUGGAGGAAGCCCCGGCUAACUACGUGCCAGCAGCCGC
rnacentral:rRNA from 1 species